CGUCUAGGCGGAUCGGUAAGUCGGCUGUGAAAGCCCUCGGCUCAACCGAGGAAGUGCAGCCGAAACUGCCAGUCUUGAGGGCGAGAGGGGAGAGUGGAACUCCUGGUGGAGCGGUGAAAUGCGUAGAUAUCAGGAGGAACGCUGGUGGUGAAAGCGACUCUCUGGCUCGUCCCUGACGCUGAAGCGCGAAAGCUAGGGGAGCGAACG
rnacentral:rRNA from 1 species